rnacentral:lncRNA from 1 species
GACCCAUCCAACCAGUUCGACGAAGCGAACUCCGAACUUAAUCGAAACAUCAAGGGA